rnacentral:rRNA from 1 species
UACGGGGGGGGCAAGCGUUGUUCGGAAUUACUGGGCGUAAAGGGCUCGUAGGCGGCCAACUAAGUCAGACGUGAAAUCCCCAGGCUCAACCUGGGAACUGCGUCUGAUACUGGAUGGCUUGAAUCCGGGAGAGGGAUGCAGAAUUCCAGGUGUAGCGGUGAAAUGCGUAGAUAUCUGGAGGAAUACCGGUGGCGAAGGCGGCAUCCUGGACCGGCAUUGACGCUGAGGGGCGAAAGCCAGGGGAGCAAACGGG